CGGGCGUAGCCCGGAUUAAUCCCUAGUUUAGAGUAAAAAAUAGAAGAAUCCUAUUUUUCUAAAAGGAAAAAAAAAUAAAAAUCUCUAUUAUAGAUAAUUGAAUUAAACUUGUGUAAAUUCAAAUAUAAUAAUUUUGUUAAAUGAGAGUGAGAGAGAGGGGAAGCUAAAGUGGAAGUCUGGUGGUAAUAAUAGAGGAUUUGGUAUGACUGAGAGGACAAGUGGACACAAAGUCAGUCAAAAAAGUGAAUAGACAUUAAUUUUUUUUUUCUUCUUUAGUUGCUGCUGAUUCGUUCGGUUUUGGACACAACAACAACAACGAAAAAGGUUUUAUUCUACAGUAACCAACCAAACACACAAACUGGUCCCUAUUUCAGACAUUGAAAGUGGGCCAUCAUUCUUUCUUUCACUAGUGGGCUUCAACAUCUGGUCCACACCACACAAUUUCAUUUUUACUUUUAUUUGUUUGGUCAGGGAGGUUAAUUAUUAUCUAUAUAUAUAUAUAAAAUUGUCUGCCUCUCUCCUGUGAUGCCACGUCGGAUCCAGGCUGGAAAGUCGAACGUCCACGGCUUGACACGUGUCUCAAACGCUGCAUUUCAUUAAGCGUUGACAAAUGUGGGCUUUCUCUCCUGAUUUUAUUGUUGGGCCAUGAGGUUAGUUGUUCUGUCGGGCCCGAUGGGGUUGUGUAGUUCCUCGAAAAAAAAAUGAAAGGUGUUCUCACCAACCCUAAUAUGAAACAAAGAUCCUCUUUCCCCUUCCUGCAGCAGUGAACUGAUGACGUUAAGGCUUCCUCAUAAUUUUCAUUUAUUAGCUCCAUCUCGAAUUGUAUUCAAAGCUUUCUUACUAUCUUAGAGGCGGUGCCAUGAUCUGUAUAAAUAGAGGUUUGAUUCAUUCACUUGAACACAUAUUGUUCAUGUUUAAUUGAAUUUCCUCCAGAAAGUUUUUGCAAUUGCGAACCUCUUGAUGUUUUGUUAUAUAUUUAGUUAUGGUUUUGAUUUUAGAAAUAACCCCUUUUUGAUUGUUCAGUUUGCAAAAUACUUUCUAACCAUUAGUGUUUGUCUGUUUUGGUAUUUAAGUUUUCAGCUGUCAUAUGAACUAGCUCGAGCAACAAUGGAGAUCAAAUCAAGCCAGCCGAAUCGUCCUCGAGAACCUUGGUAUCAAUCCAGCCGAAUCGUACUCGAGGUCCAAACUCUUUUUUUUUUCAGAAUUUUUUUCUCUGUAGCGUGUUGAGGCAAGGCUUUUGCGUUUCUGGGAAUCCCGAAAUGUUAAGAAAGAUGGUGAGCUCAUGGGCUUUGAUAUUCUUUUGGUUGAUGGCAAGAUAUUUUUCUGUGAGAGCAGUUCAAAACAUUAGAGCAGGUGUUAACACCUCGAGCCGGUUGUGUUAUUGUUUCGCUUGAGAGAAACUUAUUCUGUUAUAUAUAAGUUUAACUAAUCAAAUAUUUGAAAGACAUACACGCAUUUAAAUGAAUCAAACGCUUACAAAAAUAGGGAAAAGGUUUUAAAUUCCUUUAAUAAUGUUCGAGUUUCGUUUCGACUUGAUUGCUAGCUAGAUUGAGAUACAACAAUACGGAAAAGGUUUUUUUGUUUGCUUGAACAAACGCUUUGUUAUUUUCCAAAUAGAGAAUCAACAGAAAAGGGAAAAAAAAAUGACA